UGGGGAAUAUUGCACAAUGGAGGGAACUCUGAUGCAGCGACGCCGCGUGAGUGAUGAAGGACUUCGUUUCGUAAAACUCUGUUCUAUGGGAAGAAAAGGACUGUACCAUAGGAGAAAGCUCCGGCUAAAUACGUGCCAGCAGCCGCGGUAAUACGUAUGGAGCGAGCGUUGUCCGGAAUUAUUGGGCGUAAAGGGUGCGCAGGCGGCUUUACAAGUUGGAUGUGAAAUAUUGUGGCUCAACCACAAACGUGCAUCCAAAACUGCAAAGCUUGAGUUAAGGAGAGGUAAGUGGAAUUCCUGGUGUAGCGGUGGAAUGCGUAGAUAUCAGGAGGAAUACCGGUGGCGAAGGCGACUUACUGGACUUAAACUGACGCUCAGGCACGAAAGCGUGGAGAGCAAACAGG
rnacentral:rRNA from 1 species